GACGAACGCUGGCGGCGUGCUUAACACAUGCAAGUCGAACGGAAAGGCCCUGCUUUUGUGGGGUGCUCGAGUGGCGAACGGGUGAGUAACACGUGAGUAACCUGCCCUUGACUUUGGGAUAACUUCAGGAAACUGGGGCUAAUACCGGAUAGGAGCUCCUGCUGCAUGGUGGGGGUUGGAAAGUUUCGGCGGUUGGGGAUGGACUCGCGGCUUAUCAGCUUGUUGGUGGGGUAGUGGCUUACCAAGGCUUUGACGGGUAGCCGGCCUGAGAGGGUGACCGGCCACAUUGGGACUGCGAUACGGCCCAGACUGCUACGGGAGGCAGCAGUCGGGAAUAUUGCACAAUGGGCGGAAGCCUGAUGCAGCAACGCCGCGUGCGGGAUGACGGCCUUCGGGUUGUAAACCGCUUUCGCCUGUGACGAAGCGUGAGUGACGGUAAUGGGUAAAGAAGCACCGGCUAACUACGUG
rnacentral:rRNA from 1 species